UCUGCCUGUGCCGCGUCUCUAUGGCGGCCCCAACGGCCGUCCCGGACGUGGAGCGAAAUGAGCUCGGGCGCUGACGGCGGCGGUGGCGCUGCGGUGGCGGCGCGGUCGGACAAGGGCAGUCCUGGGGAGGACGGUUUCGUCCCGUCGGCGCUGGGGACCCGCGAGCAUUGGGAUGCUGUCUAUGAGAGAGAACUGCAAACUUUCCGAGAAUAUGGAGAUACAGGUGAAAUCUGGUUUGGAGAAGAGAGUAUGAAUCGACUAAUAAGGUGGAUGCAGAAACACAAGAUUCCACUGGAUGCUUCAGUGCUUGAUAUUGGAACUGGAAAUGGUGUUUUCCUGGUUGAACUUGCAAAAUUUGGUUUCUCUAAUAUUACUGGAAUUGAUUACUCUCCUUCUGCAAUUCAGCUUUCUGGAAGUAUUAUAGAAAAAGAAGGUUUAUCUAACAUUAAGUUAAAGGUAGAAGACUUUUUGAAUCUCUCCACACAGCUGUCUGGAUUUCAUAUUUGUAUUGACAAAGGGACUUUUGAUGCCAUAAGCCUUAAUCCUGACAAUGCAAUUGAGAAGAGGAAGCAAUAUGUGAAAUCUCUCUCCAGGGUGUUGAAAGUAAAAGGCUUUUUUCUAAUAACAUCAUGUAAUUGGACCAAGGAAGAGUUGCUAAAUGAAUUCAGUGAAGGAUUUGAACUUCUCGAAGAGCUACCAACACCCAAGUUCAGCUUUGGAGGCAGAUCUGGAAACAGUGUAGCAGCAUUGGUUUUCCAAAAAAUGUGAGACUUUUUCUUGGACAAAUUCAGGUAGCUACACAGAAUCUACACAGCAAAGUUAACCUGACACAGAAAAUCCUUUGGCAAAUAAAUGCUUAGGCAUAGAAAUGAAACUCAACAUCAAGCAGACAAAUACCCAAGCCCACAGGCUACAUAAAUGCUGAAUAAAACCAGCUCUACAAUGGAACUCUGAAAAGCGACGGGUAAGAAGCCUAAUGAAUGAUUGAAUAUGACCUUAGCAAAAUCCCUGGAGUGUUGUUGAAAGAUCAUUCAUUUCCAGCUUAGAUGUCAAGAUGGGCUCCAGUAACCAGGAAAAAAGAGAGCUUGAGUCAGUACUUACUGAGUUUUAAAAAUCUUUUGCAGCACAGUGUAUUAGACUGAUCAUUAAAAGGGCUUCUCUAGCUGAAUUUUGAGCUGUCAUUAUAGUUUAGGCCCAGGGAAAUAAACUUAAAAAGAUAGGAAUAAUUCCUAAGACAUGAAUGUAUCAAUAUCCUAUCCUGCUUUUCUGGAGUAGGACUUCAAAAACCGAAAUGUAUAGGCUGGCAGAAUGUACUUUUGUCAUGCUGAUACCAUUGUAAAAAAGACUUAAACUAGGAGAUCAAUUGAGCCCUAAAGUAUUUGCAAAUUACUUGCCUAGCUUGUUAGAAGAAGAAAUAAAAAGCCAAAAUCUACAUUUUUGUUUUCAAAAGAAAUGAUUUCUUUGUUUCCUGAAGAGAUGAGAAAUGAUAAAUUCUUCCAUGUUACAUUUUUACGUAUGUAUUUUUAUUACUGUACUGUAUCAACAAAUGAUAAGUAUUUUAAUGAGUGAUCUUUAUUGUUCAUAGUAGCUGGAAGCGUCUUAAGAAAAGCAAAUCUAAUACAUCUGUUUUCCCAAAUAUGUAAAAAUUUAUACAUGAUCUAGCAAUUAGCAUAUCGUGUAUAUUUCUGAGUAGCUUAGGAAAAAAUAUGAAAAUACUCUGGUUGAAUAAGGGGACUGUGAACUGUAUUUCUCAUUUUUCAUUAAUAUAUUACAGAUCAGGCAGCUUAUCGUCGAUGAUAGCAGAAUCGAAAUGGCAUUGGGAUGGCUGUAGUUCCCCAGCUUUUGCCUGCCUUACUGCUGCAAAGACGAGAGAACUGUUGGGAGGAAGAGGCUAAAUGUAGAAGAGUGUGGGUGCUGUCAGUUCACAUUUUCCUCCUAACCCUUCUGCUAAUAGGAAAAUGUCAGGCCUUUGUUCCCAUCUAAUUUUAGUACAUCCUGGCUAAAAAAAUGUUAGGAUGAAAAAAUGUUAGGAUGAUUUCCAACCAUGGAACUUUGAGGGGUGGGGUAGGGGAAGGAAGAGUGGAGGAAAGCGCAGUUUAUACUCCAUAUCCGUCUGCCUUUCUGCAACAGCAGCUACCCCCUACUCUGUUGAUUUGGGUAAUGAAAUAAAUUUAGAUGCAUUGAAGCAGUGAUAAUUAGGUUUUCCUUCUAUCUUCUCAGUAAGAAGCCUAGUUGGUUUCUGAAUGGGGAAAGUCAUAAUAUGGUAUUUAAUGAAACAUACCUGGCAGAAUUAAAGAGCUGUACACAAGCUUUGGAAGAAAGGCCUGAAAUUCUUACUUUACCAGAACUCUUCCAUCCAGUGAGUUGCAAGCGUGACAUUUGCUGUGUUUUCAGCACCUGCCAACUUGGAAAGCAGGGUUUGUGUUCAGGACUUAGGCUCACAACCCAUACUUUGUGGUGCACAAUGCUGGCCCAGCUGGCAUGCUUUCGUACCUCAAUGGUGCUAGACAGUCAGUUACAAAGCUGUGUGGCUUCACAUGCGCUGAUCUCAAUAGUCACUCCUCUUCAAGCUGCUUUCAACUCUUAUUUUGUAUCAAAGGAGUGGGAUUGGUAUUAUUAAACUCAUUGCUGAGGUUAUUUUUCAGUGAAAAUAAAUUGUUUUAUUUAGU